rnacentral:rRNA from 1 species
GACGAACGCUGGCGGCGUGCUUAACACAUGCAAGUCGAACGGGCCCGCCCUCUUUUUUGGGGGUGGGUUGAGUGGCGAACGGGUGAGUAUCACGUGAGUAACCUGCCCCCUGCUCCUGGAUAACUGCUUGAAAGGGCGGCUAAUACGGGGUGUGCCGGCUGGUCCGCAUGGGCCUGGUCGGGAUAGUUUCCUCUUCGGGUGUUUCGGUGGGGGAUGGGCUCGCGGCCUAUCAGCUUGUUGGUGGGGUGAUGGCCCACCAAGGCGGUGACGGGUAGCCGGCCAGAGAGGGUGGGCGGCCAGGCUGGGACUGAGACACGGCACAGACUCGUGCGGGAGGCAGCGGUGGGGGGUAUUGCACAAUGGGCGGAAGCCUGAUGCAGCGACGUCGCGUGAGGGAUGGAGGCCUUCGGGUGGUGAACCUCUUUCUCCGGUGGUGAAGGCCCUGUCCGUUGCGGCGGGGUUGACGGUAGCCGGGUAUGAAGCGCCGGCUAACUACGUG